CCUACGGGUGGCAGCAGUAGGGAAUUUUCGGCAAUGGGGGGAACCCUGACCGAGCAACGCCGCGUGAAGGAAGAAGGAAUUCGUUCUGUAAACUUCUGUUAUAAAGGAAGAAAGACGGAUGAAGGAACUGACAUCCGAGUGACGGUACUUUAUGACAAAGCCACGGCUCACUACGUGCCAGCAGCCGCGGUAAUACGUAGGUGGCAAGCGUUAUCCGGAAUUAUUGGGCGUAAUGAGGGAGCAGGCGGCAGCAAAGGUCUGUGGUGAAAGACCGAAGCUUAACUUCAGUAAGCCAUAGAAACCGGGCAGCUAGAGUGCAGGAGAGGUACGUGGAAUUCGAGGUGUAGCGGUGAAAUGCGUAGAUAUAGGGAGGAACACCAGUGGCGAAGGCGACGAUCUGGCCUGCAACUGACGCUCAGUCCCGAAAGCGUGGGGAGCAAAUAGGAUUAGAUACCCUUGUAGUC
rnacentral:rRNA from 1 species